rnacentral:lncRNA from 1 species
GCUAGACAUUCCGGGUAUUUCUUAAAGCCUUAAAGCUUGCACGCCUUUCUCUUGCUGCAGCUUUCCUCCACCCUGAAGACACAGCUGUGAUCAGCAGAUCUGUCCAGCAGGGAAGGUGAAAUACAGAAGAGGAUGUUGAUCUACUGACGUAAAGGAUGAUUUUCCCACUGUUCUGGGAGAACUUUAGAUUUUAUUCACUUCUUUCCUUUUUAACCAAAAGUAAGGGGAGAAAAACAAUGAGAAAGAAAAUUAAAGCCAAUGUGGGGAAUAAUGACAACACAUAACAACUGGAAAUCUGGCCCAAUACACAACUGAAUGAACAGAGUCUGGUAAAAUUUGUCCCAAGCUUCAAAACUGCUUUUUCUUGGUUGUAAGUAGGAAGUACUCCUUUAUUCCUGAUAUCAUUUUAGAAAAGAAAACAAUGCAAAGUAUUUGCAAAUUAUGCGAGUUUAUGAACUGUUUUUUGUAAUUAUAAGCUACAACUGAUAAAAUGGAGUACAGGUCUGCUGUCCAGAAGGAUCUCUACAGGGUGGGAACAUCAGGUGGGAAGUUCAGCAAAGACAAAUGCCAAGUCCUGCAACUGCGUUUGAGAUCAUGCUAGUAGCUAACAGGGAAAUCCAGCUGUCCCAGUGGAUAUCAAACUGAACGUAAAGCAGCACUGUGACCAAAGAUGAGGACCAACUGCAUCGUGAGCUGUAUGUGCAGUAUCACAGUCAGAAGAUCAAAGGAAGUGGUUAAACUCCUUGCCAAUCACAUGUGAGGCCACUUCUAGAGCACUGUCCCUAGCCUGGGCUCCCUACUACAAGAGGUGCGGACAUGCUUAAGAGUCCAGAGGAAUAUAAGUGAGGGGAGCUGGAGCAUAUUGCAUAAUAUAUGAAAUUAAAGGAGUUGGACUUAGCCUGAAGAAAGAAUAUGAAAUGGGAAAUUAACUACUAUCUUUCACCAUAUGAAGAAGGGCUGCAGAAGACAUGACAUCAGACUCUUCUCACAUGUGCACUACUAAGAAAAAAAAGGCAACAGGCACAAGUUGACACAAAAAUUCGGAUUGAAUGUAAGGAAAAAAAUUCACAAUGAUGAGCACCAAAUCCUGGAACAUCUUGCCUAAAGAUUUUAUGUGAUCAACAUCCUUGAAGGUUUUCAAAAUUAGUCCAGACAACUGGCUCUGAGCAACUUGAUCCAGAUCUGAAGCCAGAAUUGUUUUAAGUAGUGCUUAGAUUAGAGAUCUCUAGAUCUUCCUUCAAAACACUUUGGGGUUUAUGUAAGGUUUAAAAUAUUGCUAAAUUCCAUAGAAAAUUUCGAAAAAUAAGAGACAUUACCGUAAGUUUUAUAAUGAUCUAGCCUGAGCAGGGACAAUGCAAGGGGCCAUUGUGUUUAUGAAUGGAUAAUGGUCAACAAGAAGUAAAGACAAACUCAUUGCAGGGAUUCUUCCUUAGCUUUUCAAACAUUUUGCACCUGUACUACAGGAUCAUCUGACAAGCACAGAGCUAUCUGAGUAACAGCAACAAUCAUAUUUGGCAGGAGCAAAGAAAAACUCAAGCUACUUACCUCAGAAGUUCUUUAAAAUAACAUUUAAAAGAUUUUCUGGAGAGAAAUUUCAGCAUACCGUAAAGUCUGUGCUGUAGUUUCUAUUCCUUGUUUCAUUUAUCUUAUGCUGAUGCGGAACAUGAAAUGGUAGACAAUCUAGGUCUCUCUUUAGCUUUCUGUAACCUGUCCCGGGACUUGGUUACCUGGGUGCCAAUAAUGGAAAGCCACUAACAUGGCCCAGCUGUAUAACUUUGGCUUUGACUGCGGAGGAAAUUGCUGAGUUUUGAAAAAGAACAGUGAAAAGUGUGUAGAACAGAAGAGGAUGAUAAAACUGAAGACAGAGGUAACAUGGUUGAGACAGUAUCUCUAAUUGCUCCAGAAUUCAGGAAGGAAAGCACUGACACGGAAGUGGAUAAAAUUCUAAAAGAAACAAAAUAAUGGAGAUGUUAGAGGAUUACAACUCAGGAUCAUCUUCUAUACCGUGCAGUAAAAUAGUUCAAUCAUUCUCCUUCCAACUAAUGUCUGCCCAGCCUGCAACCACUCUUUCAAUAUCUUGUUGGUGGGGGAAGUAUAAGUAAGUUAUGUAGCGUAUUAAAUAUAGACUAUAUUUCGUAUGCAUUGGUCAAGACGUAAUUUUCUUAUCCUUUAAAACUGUGUACAACCUGCUUGCAGGGUCUCUGUAAAUGACUAAAGCAGCCAGUACAAAUGGCCCAAAAAAGCACUGUAACAGGAGUAUAGAUUUGAGAUUUGCAGCAAUACUUCGUUUUGAAUUUUAGGGUUAGAAUAAAGAACAUUUUCAUCUAUCAUAUCUAUCAUCUUAUUAAUUAACUUGAAUUGAUGCAAAAGCAUGCAAGUUUUGCAAAGAGGAAAGCCCUUAGGAGAAGUCAUGCUAUUGUCACUGUUUUCCAUGUGGUUACUACGCCUGGGCAUUCAGUAAUUAAUGUCAUUCGUAAACAGACAAUUGAGACUAGCAUUUCUCAAGGGUUUUCAGUGUAGAACUACUUUUUACAAACUUUGAGCACUGAACCAUGAAACCAAGAGUAGCAUCAUGGUUUUAGGCACUGUACACAUAGUUGAUUGCAGUUUUUAAAUUACUACUUUUAAACAAAAAUGCCUGCUUUCAGUUUGUAGUAGCAGAACGCCUAUAACUUGAAAAUAUUUACAAAAAAAAGGAAGUAUCAACAAUGUCAUUUCGAUCACCAGAGUCUGAACAAUCCACUAGUACCUACAGCACCCAAUCAGUGGUCACUAGUCUGUGCACCAAGCGGAUCAUUUAGAUAUCCAGGAGAAAAUACUUUCCAUAUUUAUCUGAAAGUUCCCAUUAUGCUAGAAAUCCCUGACAGGCACUUGUUCUUUAUCAAGGUAGCAACAUUUCUUGCUUGUUAGCUUUUACUCUAUCUUAUUUAGCUUUCCAGACGUUUAGCUUCCGUAUCCAUUAGAGCUGUUGCUGUUAAGUAACUAGACACAGUUUUCUUGAGAUAAGGUUCAUAAAAUUUGGACAGGUUAAACAGGAUGCUCUGCCUUGUUAAGUUCUCCUGGCAAUACCUCCAAUCUUCGGUGUGCCCCCAGAUGGCCAAAAUGAUGGAGAUUUCACAAAGACUGGCCUGAGGUUACUUACAGUUAGCACUUUGGCUGACCAAGCAUCUGGAACACUCACUCACUCAGUGACAGUUUGCAUGACAGCAGACAAUGGCCAUGAAAUUAUCUCAGGCUCAGCAAGACCUAAAAAGCACAGCAUUACUUUGGUUCUAAAUAUCCUCAAAGAGGUUACACUUCCACAUCCAUCAACAACAGUGGUUGGCAUAUCUGCCAUACACCUAAUAUUUACUCCCUUUCCUGCAGCAGUUCUUGCUGCCCCUGGGGGAGUUCUAACUUGAAAUCCAAAUUCCUCUGAAGCUGUCAAGCUGGCUUCUUGUCUUUGGUAUGUAGAGCCAGGAAUUAUUAUUGCUCUGAAAGAUGCAAGGGGAAGAAACAGAGCAAUUAAGGGAACUUGUAAAACCUUGUCAAGUUACAAGAGGUCUCUUUAUUUUUCUAUUGAUUGUGUCUCUCUCUUUCAGGAAUAAUGAAUGUCCCACGAAAUACCUGAAGUUCCCCCUGUCACUCUGUGCCUUAACCUUUGUGAUGCUAAAGACUCAGAUUUGCAACCCUACCGUUCAUCUUUCACUUACGGCUCUGUAAUCUUUUGCCUAAAUUUCUGUGAGGUUUUGUGUUUUUUUCCUUCUAUGUCAUUCUCCUACUGUCAUCCUUGUAAUUUUCAUGCCUUUACACCUCUAACGGUGUCACUUUAGGUUUCUCAUAGUAAGUGAUUGCCCUGGCAUGACAAUUACCCCUCCUUCCCUGCUUUUUCCUAUGCAUUGUUGUUUGUAAUUCAGCUUAUACUAGAGGCAAAGAAGACUUAAGAAAUAACAUCUUGUGUAAUAGUUAUUUAUAUAUAUAAUAAGUAUUACUCCCCAAUACAUGUGCAUGGUGCUCAACCAAUAAUUCCUCAUCUGUGAAGAUGUCCCAGAAACUAGCUGUAAGUCAUUGAUCGCAUUAUAGGCCUCUAAACAAAAAACUGCUUGAAAUUUAUUUGACAUACGUUGCUAGCAUUUUUAAUUUAAAAUUUAAUUUUUAAACUACUGAAAAGCACUGGUGUUAUACCACAAGCUCAUUCCACAUUAAACAUCACUGCAGUGCUAGGGUACCAAUCUCAGCAUCAUUAGCAACAUAAUCUCUAUGCUAAAAGUAUUAUUUUAUUUUUAUAUCUUUAGGUUUAUAAAUAUUGACCACUUUUAGAGCAUCUGAAGUUAUUUCUGCAGAUUUUAUCGUGAGCAGCACCUUGCUGUUACCUUGUGGGCUGACAGUGGGGACUCAGGUGAUGGAGGUGCUGCAGUUCACUCGCUCAUCUUCACUCCUGUGCUGUAGGAAAUCGUUGCACACAAAGCCUCUGCUUUCCCAGGAUGGCAUAGUUCAGUCAUCAACCUGGAGUACUUAGUCCUACUGUAUAUUUGGUGUGUACAGAUCACCAGGAGAAAAAAAAAUAAAACCUGCUGAGGACAUUUUGUCACAGCAUAUAAAUCAAAAAGCAAGUUGGAUGAAAAAGCUAAUCUAGUUACUUAUAGUCCUUAAAAUGUUCCAGACCAGAUGUUGAAAAAUGUCACGUUGACCAGCUCAGCACUGCAGGGUACUAAGCUUUUCCUCGGGGCUACUGGGCUUGAGUCAGAUGCAUUUAAAGGAUGCCCACGGUUUGUAAAUUCAAAGGUGCAGAAACAGGCACAAACAGAAGUGAAUCUCACUGGAAGGCAUGGAAUUAAGUGGAGAUCUAAAAGCUCAGCUACUCUUUCCCUAGGUCAGAUCAGUCCAGAUGGUUUAAUUCCUGACCAGUAUCUAUGCAACGCCAUGGAUGAAGCUUUGAUAUAUCAGUAAUUUCUGAAUAUUUUCUAUAAUUUGGAAAAGAAUGACUAAAUUCCACUUCGGUAGAUUCAACAAAACAAGGGUAAAAGAAAAAGAAAAUCUGAGCAUAUGUAGAUUAUUUCUUUUCACAUUUGGAAUGGAAGGUAUCAAAAAUAGAUUAAGAUGCUUGGCUGGAAGCACUUUAUGUGACCUCAAGCCAUAGCCUGAUGCCAAACAAGAGUUUUAAAAAUCCAAUUAAAAUAAAAUAUUAAAUAUAUAAAUAAAAGUUGUAAAUAAUUCCUCACUGUCAGAUAAAAAUACAUACACAUAUACAUACACAGAAUGCACUUUUGACUUACACUGAAGUACAUGUCAAUGGUUGAACUGAAGUUGUUGUUUUUCUGUGCAGCUUGGGAGAGAAUGUGUCUAAAUGUCAUUUAAAGUAUUAAAUAAAGAAAGAAAUUGUAACUUUUAUUUAGUCUCACCCUUUUCUUUAUUUGUUACUCAUCCACUAGAAUAAAAAUCUAUUAGUCAUCC